GCCGACUUCCAUGGCCACCGUCCUGCUGUCUUUAGUUACUAACGCCUUUUGUGGGGUCCGAUAUGCGUUGAUUUUGGCACUAUAACUUUACGACCGGUUCAUCCCGCAUCGCCAGUUCUGCUUACCAAAAAUGGCCCACUGAAGGCCUUUACUAUCUAUCCACUUGCUACGUAGCAGCACGCUAGCUAAUGGAAAACACACACAUUAACAGUUUGAGAAUAGGUUGAGAACGUUUCGAACCCAACGACUCUAAUCAUUCGCUUUACCGCAUGUGACUAUCGUUACUAGACCUCAGCUAUCCUUAGGGAAACUUCGAAAGGAACCAGCUACUAGAUGGUUCGAUUGGUCUUUCGCCCCUAUACAUAGUUCUGAUGAUCGAUUUGCACGUCAGAACCAUUGCGGACCUCCACCAGAGUUUCCCCUGGCUUCAUCCUUUCCAUGCAUAGUUCACCAUCUUUCGGGUUCCAGAGCACGAGCUACGAGUACGGCAGCGCCAUUGCUGACGCGUAAUUGCCAUCUCCGAUUUGCCUAGACUUGCCAUUGUGUGAAAUAUAGAUAAAUCUAUAUACACAUAAUAUUUUUAAUACAUACAGUCUCAUCAUACAAACACACGAGCCGUACAUGUACGACCCUCGAUUGCUUUCGUUAAGUUUGACGGAUUCUAUAAAAUGAACCUUUGCGUCACGCUCGUUCGCUGGACUCCUUGGUCC
rnacentral:rRNA from 1 species